ensembl:lincRNA
GGAUAAAUUAGGAUUGAAUAGGCUAAAAAACAAAUAAUUCUUUUACUUUUUAAUUUUUUGUAGAGCUGGGGUCUCCCAAUGUUGCCACUGCUGGUCUCCAACUCCUGGCUUCAGGUGAUCCUCCCACUUCAGCCUUCCAAAGGAUUGGGAUUACAGGCAUGAGCCACCCACCAUGCCCAGCCCAGAUAAUUCUUACAACACGAGAGAUAAGUAAUGUUUGCAAAAUUUUUGUUUCAGCCACCUCCUGCCUCUAAAGUGCUUGAAGACACAGUAGGAAGGCACCAGAGGGCAUUCUCAGACCAUCUAUUAUCAAGCAAAUACAGCUGGAAAGUACAAAACAAGUCUCCACUUUGGCCAGUUUUGGAUGUAGUGGUGGUUUCUAUCACACGCUCAGAAACACUUGGAGUCUGAAAGCUGCCAUGCUAAAAAAAAAAAAUGCCAUUCAACUCGGGGGUAUCAGCAGAGGCAUUUGACUGAGUGACUGCAGACUGCACAUCCUUCUGCUCCUGUACUGAUACCAAGGUUGUCCUGGGCAGGCAACAUGGACAAGCAGAGAGACCUCUGGCCUGAAAGUCCAGAGAUGUGGGGAUCUUGGUUCCAGCAUUAACUGCUUUCUUGACCUUCAGCAAGUUACUUUGUGCUCCAAAUCUUAGUUUUCUCAUCUGUAAAAUGAAGAUACAAAACAAUACGUGAAGAUCAUUUUGAAGUCUAACUCUCAGUGGUUGAAUUCCUUCCUUUUUUUUACUCUCCUUCCCUCCCUUCCUUCCUGAUUAAACUAAAGGAGAAACUGGGAUAUAUUAAUAUCAUGUUUGGAGUAGGUAUGUUUUGACCUUCUAGUGCUGAAGAGACAGCCUCUGAGGCUUGGCAAUGCACACUGCUCAUUGUCGAGUUGAAAGCUGAGCACCUGGGGUUUGAGUGGCUUUCAAGUUGAUUCUGGCUUUUCUGACUGGGGCAUGUGCACCUUCACAGUUGGAACAGCCAUGGGACAUAUAUAGUCUAGCGUCUUGGAACAUUGAUUCUACACGAGAAUUCUGGAGAAAAAUAUGACAUUUUUAGUGUUAAACAGAGCUUUAUGGAACAUAGGUUAAAAUUUUGCAUGCAUUUUUGCUGUGAAAAAAGACUAAAAAUGUGGGGUUUGUAGUUGGAUGCUUUGGAGUGUACUUUUGUAUCUCCUGAGAUUAUAAUUAUCUCUUUGUAUUAUUUGGAGUGUACUGGAGGGAAAUUUUGGGGAAGCUUACUCCUUGAGGUACGUUUUGAAUGUAUCUCAGGUUGGGUUUCCUUGAAGCAGAGCCUGAGGCAAGCAUUCAACCACAUGACAUUUCCUAAGGGCAUGGCAUAUUCUUUAUGGGGAACAAGUUGCCAAUAAGUGAGAGAAGCAGGAUAGGAAAGGGCAAAGAGCUGUACAAUGAUGUGGUCUCAAGAAAUGCGAUCUGAUUCAUUGUGUGUGUGUGGGUGGGGGCGGCUGGGUUCUGAUAAAUGAUUCACUCCACAGAAUUGACCACCUGAGGCAAGGGGGCUGGAAUUUUGUACGCUCAUAUCAGUUGGUCAUUAUUUACAGGUAUCCAUGGGUGAAGCCUAAAAGGGGACACUCUUCAGUCAGGAGGCAAUUCCCCAGAGAAAGGAACAGCUAUAAGCUGUAUGUAGCCAUGGCAUGCUGGAGUCAGCUCAUCACAGCUUACAAGUGCUGACUGCACAUCCCUUCCCAAAUGCCCAUUCUGUGACUUCACCCUGAUAGCCUGCAAUCGGCCAAGAUGGAACCAUUUACAUCAUAAAAAUCAACAAAAGCUACAAAUCCCAGGCCUUACACUCCCACAAGCAGCCAGAUGUUAAACGUUUACCAGCACGGCCCUGGCCAACCUUCUCUGCAGCAAUAGGCUGGUGUCCUGGCUGGUGAAGGGGAUCAGAGCAGGGCACCAACAGCAUUUACUGCAUUGGAGUUACAGAAGAUUUGCCAACAAAUGAUCUCCCCAGCUAGUUUGUCAGUUGGCAAGCCAUUCCUUUAGGAGUUGCCUUUCCUAACCAGAAGAGGAGAUGCAUACAGUAUUGAGAAUCAUAGAACAAAGAAUCUACCACGCUGCAGUCAAAAUGACUGAUUACAUUUUAUAAGUGCAAGAGAAGGGCAGAGAGGAGGUAAGGAAAGAGUGUGUCAUCUGAAUUACCUGCAGUAAGGGACAAGAAAAGGCUUUGUUAUACUGUCUAGGGGCAGAAUUUAGAAUAGCUAUGACACUAUAGUAUAUUUUGGAAGAUUUUUUUUCCAGAAUUUAUUAUUUAAAAUCCUGCACUUGACUGAGAUGAUGGAUAGUUAGACUUCUUAUUAUAAGAUAUUUAUUAAGGAAAAGUUCAAAUAUACAUAAAAGUAUAUCAACAGCUAAUGAAGAGUGUAAUAAACCCUCACAUACUCAUCCCUCAGAUUCAAAAAUUAACUUAUAGCCAAUCUUAUUUCAUUCGUACCUCUACUCACUUCCUUGUGGGAGCAUGGGAAGUUUUGGAGACAUAGUUAAUUGAAUUAAAGUUGAAUGUGGCUAGAAAAAAGCCAGAGGCUGGGUGUGGUAGCUUAAGCCUGUAAUCCCUGGACUUUGGGAGGCUGAGGCAGGCAGAUUGCUUGAUCCCAGGAGUUUGAGACCAGCCUGGGGAACAUGGCAAAACCCUGUCUUUACUUAAAAAUACAGAAAUUGGCCAGGUGUGGUGGUUUACACCUGUAAUCCCAGCACUUUGGGAGGUCAAGGUAGGUGGAUCACAAGGUCAGGAGUUUGAGACCAGCCUGGUUAAUAUAAUGAAACCCCGUUUCUACUAAAAAUACAAAAAUUAGCUGGGUGUGGUGGUGUGUGCCUGUAGUCCCAGCUGCUCGGGAGGCUGAGGCAGGAGAAUCGCUUGAACCCUGGAGGCAGUGGUUGCAGUGAACUCAGAUCAUGCCACUGCACUCCAGCCUGGGCAAAAGAGUGAGACUCUGUCUCAAAAAAACCAAACCAAACCCAAACCCAAACCCAAACCAAAACCAACCAACCAAGCAA